UACGAAGGGGGGCUAGCGUUGCUCGGAAUCACUGGGCGUAAAGCGCACGUAGGCGGAUUGUUAAGUCAGGGGUGAAAUCCUGGAGCUCAACUCCAGAACUGCCUUUGAUACUGGCGAUCUCGAGUCCGGGAGAGGUGAGUGGAACUGCGAGUGUAGAGGUGAAAUUCGUAGAUAUUCGCAAGAACACCAGUGGCGAAGGCGGCUCACUGGCCCGGUAUUGA
rnacentral:rRNA from 1 species